rnacentral:rRNA from 1 species
UACAGAGGUCUCAAGCGUUGUUCGGAUUCAUUGGGCGUAAAGGGUGCGUAGGUGGCGCCGUAAGUCAGGUGUGAAAUCUCGGGGCUCAACCCCGAAACUGCACUUGAUACUGCGGUGCUCGAGUACUGGAGAGGAGAUUGGAAUUUACGGUGUAGCGGUGAAAUGCGUAGAUAUCGAGAGGAACACCUGCGGCGAAGGCGGGUUGCUGGGCUGACACUGACGCUGAGGCGCGAAAGCUAGGGGAGCGAACGGG